CUUCCCUUUCCUUCCUUUCUUUUGGUUUAGAGAAGCCCUUUCAAUAUUUCCUUUAACCUGGGUUUUGUGUUGCUGUAUUCUUUAAGUUUUUGUUUGUUGGGAAAAAUUUUUAUUUCCCCUUCUAUUUUAAAUGAUAUUCUUGCUGGAUAAAGUAUUCUAGGUUGCAUAUUUUUUCCUUUGAGCACUUUAAAUAUCUCUUGCCAUUCCCUCCUGGCCUGUAGUGUUUCUGUAGAGAAAUCAGCUGAUAUUCUUAUGGGGGUUCCCUUGUAGGUAACAUUCUGUUUUUCUCUUGCUGCCUUUAGGAUCCUCUCUUUAUCACUAACUUUUGCCAUUUUUAUUAUGAUGUGUCUUGGUGUGGGUCUGUUUGGGUUCAGUUUGUUUGGGGCCCUCUGUGCUUCUUGUAUCUUGAAUCCAGUAUCCUUUAGAUUUGGGAAGUUUCCAGCGAUAAUUUCUUCAAAUAUAUUUUCCAUUCCCUUAUCUUUUUCUACUCCUUCUGGAAUUCCUAUUAUGCGUAGAUUGGCUCGUUUUAUAUUAUCCCAUAGGUCUCUUAUAUUGCUUUCCAGUUUUUUGAUUCGGUUUUCUGUCUGUUGACCAGAUUGAGUGAUUUCCAUUAUUCUAUCUUCCAUAUCACUGAUUCGUUCUUCUGCAUUAUUCAUUCUGGUUUUUACUGCCCCUAGUUCAGUUUGCAUCUCUGCAAAUGAAUGUUCUAGUUUUUCUUGGCUCCUCCUUAUAUUUUCUAGCUCCUUUCUGAGGGUAUCUGCAUUGCUGUUCAUAUCUUCUCUUAAUUCCUUCAGUAUUUUCACUAUUUCUCUUUUGAACUCCAGGUCUGUCAGACUGCAGAGAUCAGUUUCAUUGUUGACUGUUUUAGGUGAGUUCUCCUGUUGGUUUGACUGGGGGUGGUUUCUCAGCUUCUUCAUCUUGCUUGUUGUCUUCUUUCUCCUGAGGGAGUUGUACUCUCCGUUAUCGGGUAGUGUUUGCCUUGUCACUGCCGUGGAAUAUUUCCUGAGGGCUGUCGUUGUUGGUCAAUCUUUUUUUUGAGGCAGUGUGGCUUUUCUGGAGUGUUGAUGGGACUAACAGUGUUUCUUUGAAGCAAAGGAGGACUUCCUGAGGGCAGACAGGACUGGGAGGUCCACCCCACGAUGGUAGCAGAUUUCACUUGGUUCUCAGCACCCCCUGGGGUCUUGGGCGGGUAGCAGGGCCCUUGGAGACUCAAGAGGUUCCUCCCCAGGGCAGCCCGAUUCAGAAAGACCGUCUGAGAUCUUUUCCCGAUUCCGCCAGGCUUGUUGCAGCUUUUCUGGGCUGCAGGGGGUCCUGCCUGGAGCUGGCAGUCCUAUGCAGCUGGUCCACUAGGUCUCAGCACCCCUUGGGGUCUUGGGCGAGUAGCAGGGCCUUUGGAGACUCAAGAGGCUCCUCCCCAGAACAGCCCGACUCAGAAAGACCGUCUGAGAUCUUUUCCCAAUUCGGCCAGGCUUGUUGCAGCUUUUCUGGGCUGCAGGGGGUCCUGCCUGGAGCUGGCAGUCCUAUGCAGCUGGUCCACUAGGUCUCAGCACCCCUUGGGGUCUUGGGCGGGUAGCAGGGCCCUUGGAGACUCAAGAGGCUCCUCCCCAGGGCAGCCCGAUUCAGAAAGACCGUUUGAGAUCUUUUCCCGAUUCGGCCAGGCUUGUUGCAGCUUUUCUGGGCUGCAGGGGGUCCUGCCUGGAGCUGGCAGUCCUAUGCAGCUGGUCCACUAGGUCUCAGCACCCCCUGGGGUCUUGGGCGGGUAGCAGGGCCCUUGGAGGCUCAAGAGGCUCCUCCCCAGGACAGCCCGACUCAGAAAGACCGUCUGAGAUCUUUUCCCGAUUCCGCCAGGCUUGUUGCAGCUUUUCUGGGCUGCAGGGGGUCCUGCCUGGAGCUGGCAGUCCUAUGCAGCUGGUCCACUAGGUCUCAGCACCCCUUGGGGUCUUGGGUGGGUAGCAGGGCCCUUGGAGACUCAAGAGGCUCCUCCCCAGGGCAGCCCGAUUCAGAAAGACCGUUUGAGAUCUUUUCCCGAUUCGGCCAGGCUUGUUGCAGCUUUUCUGGGCUGCAGGGGGUCCUGCCUGGAGCUGGCAGUCCUAUGCAGCUGGUCCACUAGGUCUCAGCACCCCCUGGGGUCUUGGGCGGGUAGCAGGGCCCUUGGAGGCUCAAGAGGCUCCUCCCCAGGACAGCCCGACUCAGAAAGACCGUCUGAGAUCUUUUCCCGAUUCCGCCAGGCUUGUUGCAGCUUUUCUGGGCUGCAGGGGGUCCUGCCUGGAGCUGGCAGUCCUAUGCAGCUGGUCCACUAGGUCUCAGCACCCCUUGGGGUCUUGGGCGGGUAGCAGGGCCCUUGGAGACUCAAGAGGCUCCUCCCCAGGACAGCCCGACUCAGAAAGACCGUCUGAGAUCUUUUCCCAAUUCGGCCAGGCUUGUUGCAGCUUUUCUGGGCUGCAGGGGGUCCUGCCUGGAGCUGGCAGUCCUAUGCAGCUGGUCCCCUAGGUCUUAGCACCCCCUGGGGUCUUGGGCGUGUAGCAAGGCCCUUGGAGACUCAAGAGGCUCCUCCCCGGGGGAGCCCGUCUCAGAAAAACCGUCGGAGAAUUAGGUCGAUCUAUUCACGGCCUGGCUAGGCUUGUUCUAGCUUUUCUGGGCUGCAGGCCUUUUCUAGGGGGCUGGUGGUGUUUGGUGCUGCUCUGUGGAAGUGUAGCCCCUCCAAAGGGCAAGCAGGCCUGUGCAGGGAGAGCCCCUGCGGUGGUAGGCUUCAGGCAAUUGUUGAGGCCAGCCCUCCUGGAUGGCAGGCACCCCCACCCAGGCGUCUCAAUUUUUGGUGACUGUGCCCGUAGUUCAGAUGGUCCGUUGGGUUCUUGAUCGUUUUUCCGUACUCCGACUUACUGCUACACUCUUCUCUGCAUCUGGAGAUUCCUCCGGUUCGUUUGAUCUUUCCCCCGGUAGGAGACUUUCCAGGGUGCGGGAUCCCUUUCUCCUCCGCAGUUCCCUUUCGGGAGCGCCCGUCCCGCUCGGAUUCACCUUCUCUCACUCUCCUCUUUU
rnacentral:lncRNA from 1 species